rnacentral:tRNA from 1 species
GGUGUGGCUCAAUGGUAGAGCACUUGCCUAGCGUGCACGAGGCCUUGGGUUCAAUCCCCAGAAGUCCCA